rnacentral:rRNA from 1 species
UACCAGCACCCCGAGUGGUCGGGACGUUUAUUGGGCCUAAAGCGUCCGUAGCCGGUUCUACAAGUCUUCCGUUAAAUCCACCUGCUUAACAGAUGGGCUGCGGAAGAUACUAUAGAGCUAGGAGGCGGGAGAGGCAAGCGGUACUCGAUGGGUAGGGGUAAAAUCCGUUGAUCCAUUGAAGACUACUAGUGGCGAAGGCGGCUUGCCAGAACGCGCUCGACGGUGAGGGAUGAAAGCUGGGGGAGCAAACCGG